rnacentral:lncRNA from 1 species
UCCGUCUUGUAUGUCCUGUAUGGCAGUGAAAUAUCAGCAUUUUUAUGAAAAAUAUUCUGCGCGCAGAAGUCCUACACAAUGCGCGGGAGGACAACCUCGUCU